GAUGAACGCUGGCGGCGUGCCUAAUACAUGCAAGUCGAGCGAACAGAUAAGGAGCUUGCUCCUUUGACGUUGCGGCGGACGGGUGAGUAACACGUGGGUAACCUACCUAUAAGACUGGGAUAACUUCGGGAAACCGGAGCUAAUACCGGAUAACAUUUGGAACCGCAUGGUUCUAAAGUGAAAGAUGGUUUUGCUAUCACUUAUAGAUGGACCCGCGCCGUAUUAGCUAGUUGGUAAGGUAACGGCUUACCAAGGCGACGAUACGUAGCCGACCUGAGAGGGUGAUCGGCCACACUGGAACUGAGACACGGUCCAGACUCCUACGGGAGGCAGCAGUAGGGAAUCUUCCGCAAUGGGCGAAAGCCUGACGGAGCAACGCCGCGUGAGUGAUGAAGGGUUUCGGCUCGUAAAACUCUGUUAUUAGGGAAGAACAAAUGUGUAAGUAACUGUGCACGUCUUGACGGUACCUAAUCAGAAAGCCACGGCUAACUACGUG
rnacentral:rRNA from 1 species